rnacentral:tRNA from 1 species
CAACAGCUAGUAUAAAUAAAACAAUUAAUUUCGGCUUAAUAACUCCAGGUUUAACCCCUGGGCUGCUUU